rnacentral:rRNA from 1 species
AUUGAACGCUGGCGGCAUGCCUUACACAUGCAAGUCGAACGGCAGCACGGACUUCGGUCUGGUGGCGAGUGGCGAACGGGUGAGUAAUGUAUCGGAACGUACCUUUCAGUGGGGGAUAACGUAGAGAAAGUUACGCUAAUACCGCAUAUUCUGUGAGCAGGAAAGCAGGGGAACGCAAGACCAUGCGCUGAUUGAGCGGCCGAUAUCAGAUUAGGUAGUUGGUGGGGUAAAGGCCUACCAAGGCUACGAUCUGUAGCGGGUCUGGGAGGAUGAGCCAGCACACUGUAACUGAGACACGGUCCAGACUCCUACGGGAGGCAGCAGUGGGGAAUUUUGGACAAUGGGGGCAACCCUGAUCCAGCCAUGCCGCGUGAGUGAAGAAGGCCUUCGGGUUGUAAAGCUCUUUCAGCCGGGAAGAAAUCGCAUAGGCUAAUACCCUGUGUGGAUGACGGUACCGGAAUAAGAAGCACCGGCUAACUACGUGCCAGCAGCCGCGGUAA